CUGCCCGUAGCUCAGUUGGAUAGAGCACCUGCCUUCUAAGCAGGUUGUCGGGGGUUCGAUCCCCCUCCGGGCAGGCCA
rnacentral:tRNA from 1 species